rnacentral:rRNA from 1 species
CUUUUGAUUUUGUUUAGUGGCGAACGGGUGAGUAACACGUAGGUAACCUGCCCGAUGUACCCGGGAUAACAAAGGGAAACCUUUGCUAAAACCGGAUGAAUUAUAGCGAGGCAUCUCGAAAUAAUAAAAGCACCUAAGGGUGUGGACAUGGAUGGACCUGCGGCGUAUUAGCCAGUUGGCGGGGUAACGGCCCACCAAAGCGAUGAUACGUAGCCGGCCUGAGAGGGUAAACGGCCACACUGGGACUGAGACACGGCCCAGACUCCUACGGAAGGCAGCAG